UAUGAAGGGGGCUAGCGUUGCUCGGAAUCACUGGGCGUAAAGCGCACGUAGGCGGAUUGUUAAGUCAGGGGUGAAAUCCUGGAGCUCAACUCCAGAACUGCCUUUGAUACUGGCGAUCUUGAGUCCGGGAGAGGUGAGUGGAACUGCGAGUGUAGAGGUGAAAUUCGUAGAUAUUCGCAAGAACACCAGUGGCGAAGGCGGCUCACUGGCCCGGUACUGACGCUGAGGUGCGAAAGCGUGGGGAGCAAACAGG
rnacentral:rRNA from 1 species